rnacentral:lncRNA from 1 species
GUUCCCCAAAAAAACAGACAUUCUAACCUUUUGUUUUUGGUCUGCAACCUUCACACCCCCCCGCCAGAUUUUGUCUUAGGGUUUUGACCAAAGAUAAAACUGAAACAACAACAAGGAAGGGUGCAGACUUUUGUCUCUAGCUACCAAAUAUCCUUAAUGUGAAAUUUCCCCAGCUCUUUACCGUUCAAGUCUUCCAGUAGAUAAAUCAGUUGGCCACAUUCUGCUUUACGCGAGCCUUCACUCCAACUGGAGCUAGUUUAGCGUUAACGUUAUUGGCCGCGCUACUCAAAGAAAAAUUUCUCUUUAUUACUUCUUGACCUACCUCAAACGAACGAGGCUUGGAUCUCAGGUCGUAAGUGCGUUGAUUUCUCUCGUAAGCUUUUGUCAGGUGUUUCUCGAUGUUUGAGCGAAUCUUCUGAAAUUCCGUCAGCUCUUGACAAUUUUCCCUCACCCUCGUUGAGUAAUUCGACUUCUCGCAACAUUUUGUAAUCUUGGCCAUGUGAAAUCAUGUGCUGACCAAAGACCACAAAAUAUGGUGCCAUGCCAACUGAUUGGUGUAUUGAUUUUCUCAACGAACAGUUUAUGCUACUAAGGAACACAUAACAUUCACGAUGGUCAGUACGAACGUACGCUCUGAGCGCGGCAUUAAUCGAUCGGUUAACCCUUUCCGCGGCAUUCGACUGUGGAUCAUACGCCCCUGUACAUAAGUGCUGAACACCGUACUUCAAAAGGAAUUUAGAAAAAUCACUACUUUUAAACUGCGUACCGUUAUCGCUCACUAGCACUUCCGGCACUCCAUAACAUGAAAAUAUCUCUUCCCUCAAUAUGUCAAUCACUAUCUGGGAAGUAAAUUUCUUGACCCGGAAAUUCUUCCAUUUAAAACUCUUGUGAUCCAGGAUGAUAAAUAUUCCUAUGUUGCCCUUUCUGCUUCGAGGAAAGGGACCAAUGAAAUCGAUGUACAACCGUUGAAAGGGACGUUCGCUAACUACUCUAGCGCCCAUAGGAGGUUUGAGAGAGCGUGUGGGAUGUUUUGUGGUCUGGCAUACAUCACAUGCGGAAAAAUAAUCGCGGACGUCUAUAACCAUUUUUGGCCAGUAAAAUCGUUGUCUUAUUUGGUCGAGGCAUUUGGCAAUCCCACAAUGUGCAGAGGAAGGUUGGUCAUGCGCAGCUUUAAUUACGCCCUGUCUCAAGGCUUCGGGAACAACAAUUUUUUCCACGACUCAUCGGCUUGGUCAGAAUCCAACACGGAAAAACCUGUACGAUAAUAUAUGUAAUCGUCGAUUACUUGAAAAUCUGGGAGUUUGGAAAGCACGAAUUUCUCUCUGAGUGAUCGAUACUCCGGCGACUGAAACGCAUCCGACUUUAUAUCGAUUUCCGGUAACACUUCGCAUUCCAAAACCGCUACUUCCGUAACACCUCCGAAUGAACGAGACAAAGCGUCAGCCACUACAUUUUCGCUUCCUUUCCUAUGCUCGAUUUCGAACGAGUAACCUUGUAAUUUUAGUGCCCAUCUGGCUAAUCUACCGCUGAGAUCUGACUGGUUCAUAAGCCAACGGAGGCUUGCAUGAUCCGUAACAACUUUGAAGGGAUGACCAUCGAUGUACAUGCGGAAUUUUUUUAUGGCCAGUACUACCGCCAAGCAUUCGAGUUCCGUUACCGUGUAGUUUCGCUGAGCCUUGUUCAGCUUCUUGGACAUGUAAGCUAACGGACGCUCGCAACCUGAGUCAUCACAUUGGGCUAAAACUGCACCUACCCCAUGAAGAGAUGCAUCGCAUUGAACUACAAAAGGCUUGUCGUAAUUGGGAUGAAUUAAAAAUGGAGCUGAGCAUAAUUUACACUUGACAUCAUCAAACGCUGCUUGUGCCUUUUCAUUCCAUUCAUACGACUUUCCACGGAGUAGUUCGGUGAGAGAAAAGAUAACAGAAGAGUAGUUGGGAAUAAAACGUUGAUACCACCCAGUCAUUCCUAGAAAUCUCCUUAGUUGCUUUUGAGUCUUCGGUAUCGGAAAUUCAUCCACGGCUCGCACUUUCUCUGAAUUAACUUGAAGCGUCCCCUCACCCACAAGAUACCCAAGGUAGUCCACCCGUUUCAGACAGAACUGACUCUUCUGCAUGUUUAUUGUCAGUCCGGCCUUGUGUAAUUGAAGAGCAACUUCCGAUAAAUGUAGCAAGUGGUCUUCAAAGUUGUUUGAAAGCACCAAUAAGUCAUCAAGAUAUACCAACACAUGAGAUUUGAGUUGAUACGGAAUUACAAUGUCCAUCAACCGACUCAUCGUGUGUGGCGCGUUUGUCAAUCCAAACGGCAUUCUUUUAAACUGAUAAAGCGGCCUAUUUGGUACUGUGAAAGCUGUUUUCGCACGAGAUUCUUGGUCUAAUCUAAUCUGCCAGAAGGCAUCCUUAAGGUCUAUCUUUGUAAUACAGUGAACCGGCGGCAACCUACUUAACAAGCCAUCCAUGAUCGGAAUUGGAUACGCAUCUCUGACUGUAACUGCGUUGAGUUNAAUCCAACACGGAAAACCCUGUACGAUAAUAUAUGUAAUCGUCGAUUACUUGAAAAUCUGGGAGUUUGGAAAGCACGAAUUUCUCUCUGAGUGAUCGAUACUCCGGCGACUGAAACGCAUCCGACUUUAUAUCGAUUUCCGGUAACACUUCGCAUUCCAAAACCGCUACUUCCGUAACACCUUCGAAUGAACGAGACAAAGCGUCAGCCACUACAUUUUCGCUUCCUUUCCUAUGCUCGAUUUCGAACGAGUAACCUUGUAAUUUUAGUGCCCAUCUGGCUAAUCUACCGCUGAGAUCUGACUGGUUCAUAAGCCAACGGAGGCUUGCAUGAUCCGUAACAACUUUGAAGGGAUGACCAUCGAUGUACAUGCGGAAUUUUUUUAUGGCCAGUACUACCGCCAAGCAUUCGAGUUCCGUUACCGUGUAGUUUCGCUGAGCCUUGUUCAGCUUCUUGGACAUGUAAGCUAACGGACGCUCGCAACCUGAGUCAUCACAUUGGGCUAAAACUGCACCUACCCCAUGAAGAGAUGCAUCGCAUUGAACUACAAAAGGCUUGUCGUAAUUGGGAUGAAUUAAAAAUGGACCUGAGCAUAAUUUACACUUGAUAUCAUCAAACGCCGCUUGUGCCUUUUCAUUCCAUUCAUACGACUUUCCACGGAGUAGUUCGGUGAGAGAAAAGAUAACAGAAGAGUAGUUGGGAAUAAAACGUUGAUACCACCCAGUCAUUCCUAGAAAUCUCCUUAGUUGCUUUUGAGUCUUCGGUAUCGGAAAUUCAUCCACGGCUCGCACUUUCUCUGAAUUAACUUGAAGCGUCCCCUCACCCACAAGAUACCCAAGGUAGUCCACCCGUUUCAGACAGAACUGACUCUUCUGCAUGUUUAUUGUCAGUCCGGCCUUGUGUAAUUGAAGAGCAACUUCCGAUAAAUGUAGCAAGUGGUCUUCAAAGUUGUUUGAAAGCACCAAUAAGUCAUCAAGAUAUACCAACACAUGAGAUUUGAGUUGAUACGGAAUUACAAUGUCCAUCAACCGACUCAUCGUGUGUGGCGCGUUUGUCAAUCCAAACGGCAUUCUUUUAAACUGAUAAAGGGGCCUAUUUGGUACUGUGAAAGCUGUUUUCGCACGAGAUUCUUGGUCUAAUCUAAUCUGCCAGAAGGCAUCCUUAAGGUCUAUCUUUGUAAUACAGUGAACCGGCGGCAACCUACUUAACAAGCCAUCCAUGAUCGGAAUUGGAUACGCAUCUCUGACUGUAACUGCGUUGAGUUUGCGGGCAUCUAGACAAAGUCGCACCUUACCAGGUUUGAUGUGCAGUGUGACAGGAGAUGACCACGGGGAGCUCGGAGCUUCUUCAAUAACGUCCAUACUCAACAUGCGAUCGAUCUCUGCACAUAAAAGCGUCUCCUUUGCUGGAGACAAAGGGUAAAAUCUUUGCUUAACUGGCUUGCUGUUAGCCGUAUCAAUGUGGUGCUCUAUUAGGGUCGUUAACCCCAGUCCAUUCUUUUCGAAUGACGGAAACAAUUCGAUCACGUGCUGUAACUGCUUCUUUUGAGAAAUCGACAAGGCUAACUUGAGCAACUCGUGCUCGGAUUGAAAGGAUAACUCGCUUACUGUCCAUGAUGAUGAUGGAACGAUAGAAAUGCCAAAUCUUUUCCAAAAGUCCAUUCCACAUAUUAUAUCCUGUUGGAUAGAUGAAACUAUUAGAAAUUCAAAGUCCGAGUGUAUUGAAUUGUAAUUCAGAGGAACUUUAAUAAAACCAGCUACAAUCAGAGUCUGACCGUCAGGAGUACGAACAACGCCUUUCAUAUUGUUUGUCAGAAGAUUUUUCGAGAAAAUUUUAUCGGCUAAUUUUCCUCCGAUGACGCUUUUUUUGGCUCCGCUAUCUAAUAGCGCAAUUUAACUCUCACCGAGUAUCUAAACUUGAGUAAAAGGACGAAUAUCGCUCGCUUUGUGAACGACCGAGGAAACAGUGACGUGACGUAGGCUUCUCUUUCGCUUCCAAAAUUCACGCAUUCGUUCCGCUGAACGAGACAACACCGCUAAAGGAGGUUUGGGAUCAAAAAUUGCGGCUCUGCGCUUCUGAUAUUCUCGAAGUCUAAUAUGGUAUGGUCUGAAAUGUAGGGGGAGUGGUAUGUCUGAGGAGGAUUUGGAUAUGUCUGGUUUAAGUUCACGUCCGGUAAUAAAAUGUGUAUGUUGAACAUCCGAGACUAACGUCGGAUGUCGCGUCUUGUUGACCGACGGACAUCCUGGGAUACGUUUUCCGUAGUCGAUUUACACUUUGCACAGUUGGGCUUGUACGUAUCAGGUACACCACAACCAUAACAGAAAAUACGACGAGGUUUUAGGCAUUCCUGGUAUUUGUGGCCCUGUUCUUCGCAAUUCCAGCAUUUACUGAUUUCGGAAGAUCGGAGUGCAUAAACUUCGUCAAGGGAGUCCCCUUCUUUUUCGGAAUUAUCAUCAGCUUCUUCGUCAUGACUAAUGGAGUUCACAAACCUCUUGCUAUUCACUACUUCGUGUCGCGAAAAAGGCUUUGACUUCAGAUUUCGAAAGAAUUCCUCGUGCUUGUGACACUCCUUGCGUAAGGUUGCCAAAUCUGGAGUUUCGAUAUGAAGCAAGUCGAGCUUCAGUUCCGACUUUAAAUUCUAUCGAACCUCUAUGGUGACGUCACCGUCCUGCAUAGGCUCUCGUAAAGAGUCUGCGAUAGAUAGCAUCGCAUCUAGAAAAUCGUCAAAGCUUUCAUUACUACCCUGUUUACGCCUACGCAUGGCUGCUUUGAUCUCUCGAUCCGAACGUUGAUCCUGGUAUCUCUCUUGCAACCGGCUGCAUAACUCAUACCAGUCAAGGUUAUUCGUGGUCCUAUGAACACGCCAGUAAAAUGACAAGGCUGAAUCAGUAAAUAAGAGACUGGCGAACUGCGCCAGUAAGGUAAAGUUUCCAUUUAAACAAUUAUUGGUAAGACAAUUCACUCUAUAAAUAAAAUCUUCGAUGGGAAUAUCUUUGGAAGAUCCACUGAAUUUUAUACGCCACUUGGAAAUGAUAUUUGAGAUCUUAUCAGGAGAUUCACUAGGAAGGUCUGUGAAAUUCGCACGAGCACUAGAUGGGCGUGGCCUGUAACUAUGGUUACGAAGAUUACUAGCGCUGCUCAUUCGAGGGAAGGAUGGAGCAAUAUCACUCUCCCAUUCAAGCUGGGGCUCCUCCCGGAAGUUCCUAGAAACAUUUGUCAGGUUCAGAUUCCUCAACUCCGUUGUUAUCUUCUCUGAAAUAACUGCGGUCAUAUUUUCCUGAAAUUUAGUCAUGGACUCUGAAAUAAGUCGUUGGAUAUUUCCUUCGGAAAGAACAUUGGAUUCCUGAGCACGUCUAGUCUGGCCAGGUCCUGGUCGAGGGUUAAGUCGUGCACUUGAGGCUUUUGGGGUAUUUCGUACCUGUGACCUUGUUUUAGGACGAUUUUUCGGAAUUGCUCCGGUGUACGACAAAUUCGCCGCGGCAUUUUCCCCACUCUGUAAAUUCGAUUGAGAUUGUGAACGCAACGGUAACGAACACAGCUGCCUACAAAUCGGGCAUGUCUCAUUGGAUGUCAACCAAUCCGAUAAACACGACCUGUGGUAUUUGUGUUUGCAAUGGGUUUCUACAAUGUCGGUGUCCUGGCUAGUAUCAUUGCAUAUAGUGCAGUGUACGACUACCUCGCCGAGAUUAACAUUUAUAUUGUCAAUACUUCGCCUUACCGCCAUUGUAACAAAUUAUGAUUAAGGAAAAACUAUAUAAGUUAUAUAACGAUAUGGUCUUUAAGACCAGAAAGAUUUUUUUUUUUUUUUUGAUUCUAAAUUCGAAAAUAUGGGCAAUGAUUGGGAGGGUCUCCUACCAGGCACCAGCACAGCAGAAGGAAUGUCUUCGGUUGUUAUAACCUUAAGUCCGUAAGCAGAAAGAAAGAAAAGAAAAUUUGGUUGAUGAUCCUUUCGAGAAAAGGAGGAACAGGACCGAAUUCUCCAGUCUGAACAAGUCUCAACUAAUCUCGAGAGAAUAAAGGUCAUUCAUCUUCGCUACUAGGUAUAGAACCAAUUUACUCAGAACUAUCGUUCCUAGUAUCCUGAUGAAAUGAUAUAAUGAAGUCUACUGUGAUCUUCUUCUAUGCAAUAUAUCCACUGGUCUGGGUCCGACAAUGAUCAGAUUCCCAGCGGUUCCNUUGGAAUAUUCACUUAAUUUUAUAUGUCACUUGGUAAUGAUAUUUGAGAUCUUAUCAGGAGAUUCACUAGGAAGGUCUGUGAAAUUCGCACGAGCACUAGAUGGGCGUGGCCUGUAACUAUGGUUACGAAGAUUACUAGCGCUGCUCAUUCGAGGGAAGGAUGGAGCAAUAUCACUCUCCCAUUCAAGCUGGGGCUCCUCCCGGAAGUUCCUAGAAACAUUUGUCAGGUUCAGAUUCCUCAACUCCGUUGUUAUCUUCUCUGAAAUAACUGCGGUCAUAUUUUCCUGAAAUUUAGUCAUGGACUCUGAAAUAAGUCGUUGGAUAUUUCCUUCGGAAAGAACAUUGGAUUCCUGAGCACGUCUAGUCUGGCCAGGUCCUGGUCGAGGGUUAAGUCGUGCACUUGAGGCUUUUGGGGUAUUUCGUACCUGUGACCUUGUUUUAGGACGAUUUUUUGGAAUUGCUCCGGUGUACGACAAAUUCGCCGCGGCAUUUUCCCCACUCUGUAAAUUCGAUUGAGAUUGUUAACGCAACGGUAACGAACACAGCUGCCUACAAAUCGGGCAUGUCUCAUUGGAUGUCAACCAAUCCGAUAAACACGACCUGUGGGAUUUGUGUUUGCAAUGGGUUUCUACAAUGUCGGUGUCCUGGCUAGUAUCAUUGCAUAUAGUGCAGUGUACGACUACCUCGCCGAGAUUAACAUUUAUAUUGUCAAUACUUCGCCUUACCGCCAUUGUAACAAAUUAUGAUUAAGGAAAAACGAUAUAAGUUAUAUAACGAUAUGGUCUUUAAGACCAGAAAGAUUUUUUUUUUUUUGUUUGAUUCUAAAUUCGAAAAUAUGGGCAAUGAUUGGGAGGGUCUCCUACCAGGCACCAGCACAGCAGAAGGAAUGUCUUCGGUUGUUAUAACCUUAAGUCCGUAAGCAGAAAGAAAGAAAAGAAAAUUUGGUUGAUG